GGAGGGUGCGAGCGUUGUCCGGAAUCACUGGGCGUAAAGGGCGCGUAGGUGGCUUUUCAAGCGCGCGGUGAAAGCCCGGGGCUCAACCCCGGGUCUGCCGUGCGGACUGGGAGGCUCGAGCACUGUAGGGGCGGGUGGAAUUCCGGGUGUAGCGGUGGAAUGCGUAGAGAUCCGGAAGAACACCGGUGGCGAAGGCGGCCCGCUGGGCAGGAAGACGGGCGCAAGCCCGUCGGCUGACACUGAGGCGCGACAGCGUGGGGAGCAAACAGGAUUAGAUACCCUGGUAGUCCACGCCGUAAACGAUGGGCACUAGGUGCCUGGGGGAGCGACCCCCCGGGUGCCGGCGCUAACGCAUUAAGUGCCCCGCCUGGGGAGUACGGCCGCCUUUCUG
rnacentral:rRNA from 1 species